UGUGCUCUAAACAGGUCAUUUUGGUCCUGUACAGCACUGAUAGAAGCACUUCAUUUUCAUCUUUAAACAAAUAUCUUUAUUUUCUUUUAAUAUGAUAUUAUUGGCAGAGGCGCGCGUCCGUCUCUCUCCGCAUGCUUUGUGAUCACGUGAUUAUUCAACCGGAGACGCGCGUUGGGUAUUUACAGAUUUUCUCCUCAGACAAGUGUUUCUGUUUUGUGGUCGAUUCUGGAUCCUUUUCUUGGUGUGUCUUGAUGUUUUCUAUUGGCUAAAGAAAUGUCUCUGUGAAACUGACAAUCUCAGGUAGGAGCUGCUGGUUUGUGGUUGGCAGUAUGGAUCACAGUCUGCGACUCAUGAGGAGCUGGGCUGGAGACAUGAAGAGGUUGUCAACAGGUGUGUUCCUAUACUCUAUCAAAAUGAGAUAGGGAUCAGUCAUGUGGGCCAAUGUGUGUGAAACUUAAUGUUUUUGCAAAGUCUUCAAACUCUUUGUGUUGAUAUUGUGGACCUUUUAAUUUCACUGGUAUGCCAUGUCUCGCGAAAGUGACUAAGCUUGCUGAUGACAGUGGCAGCCAUAGUAGUGUUGAGUUUGUCUAAUUGGAAGAAAUGGUUAUAGUAAUCUACAUUAACCAUUUAUUCAUUGUUCGAGGUGAAGAGGUCUGAAGCUAAUACCUGCCACGGUCUGAUUGGUAUUUCAUUAGGAAUCAUGGGUUCCUUGGUAUUUGAAUUAUGUUGAACCAGGCAAGUACUCCAUCUUUCGAUCAUGUGUUCUAUCUGCUUACACAUUUCUAGCCAGAAUAACAUUUCGUGCUCUUAGCUUAGACUUCUCAGCGUGUGCGCAUAUCUCAGGUCAGAUAUGACUAUUUUCUUAUCUUCACUGGUCAAUGAAAGUUUGUCUUAAAAGUCAAUAAUGUAUGUGGCAAAUUGUCUCCUAUUUGCAGGCCAUCCAUCCAAGAUCAUCUAUCUGAGCUGCUGAAAACUGCCUCGGUACGGAUCUGUUGGAGCUUUGUGUCACUGACUGUAUUUCUGCAAAUUCCUGUUCCGUGUCACAUGGCUUAUGCAAGACUGAAUCCAUAAAGGGGAUGGUCUGUGGAGACUGUGGGCGAUUCCUUCUGCUGUCAUUUAAACAUGAGCAGGAGUAAUGACGGGAUUUAAAUGGACGCAGCUAAUAUUAUGCCAGAGUCCGCUGCUUAUGCUGUAACCAUAAAGCAACCAGGACAACACACCUGGAGUGACCGAGAGCAUGAUGAAGAAAGAAUCGGACGAGAAAAUAUCAACUGGUGCCCAUGAUGAGACAUGUUGUUCUUGGACCUGCUUUUUCUGUUUAGUAAUAAGUGGUUUUAUGUGGUUACAUAAAAGUAAUUUAAUAUUCAAUCCACAAGCUAAAUUUCCUACAUUUUCUUAAAAGGGUAGUUGACCCAAAAAUGAAAAUUCUGUCAUUUACACAAACAGUUUGGUUACAAACAUUUCUCACAAUAUCUGCCUUCCUGUUUAUCAGAACAAAGAAAUUUAUGUGGGUUUGUAACAACAUGAGAGUGUGUAAAUGAUGACAUAAUUUUCAUUUUUGGGUGAAGUACCCCUUUAACAUUUUUAUACCCAGGGGUAGGGGUGUGCAGCGGAGUCAGUAUUUGUAUCUGUAACAGUCUCAAAAUUAUUUGUAUCUGUAUUUGUAUUAUAACUUAAAUAACUGUAAAUAUUUAUUAUUAAAUUAAAUUAUUAAAAAUAAUAAUACAAAAUUUUAAUCAAAAAGACAAAUAACUUGAUUCUCGUUAGUAAUACUCAUGGAAAGCAAACAACUCAUUUUUAAAGCCUCAUACAGCUUGUGCUAUGCAUCAUUGUAUUGUAGCAUUAAAAUAACAAACUUGAAAGCACGUUGACAAAACUGUAGGCUAGAUCACCCUUAAAUGUUUAUUGUGCCUGUCAGCACAAUUCCAUGAGACCCAUUCUUUCUAAAUGAGUGCGAUGUUUUCAGAAAAAAAUAAGUA